ensembl:rRNA 5S_rRNA 5S ribosomal RNA
GCCUACAGCCACAGUACCCUCAAUGUGCCAUCUCAUCUGAUCUCAGAAGCUAAGCAGGGUCAGGCCUGGUUAGUACUUGAAUGGGAGAAGUGAAAUAAAUUCUGCCAUAGCAAUCA